rnacentral:rRNA from 1 species
GAUUGACCUCGGAUCAGGUAGGGAUACCC